GUGAAUCAUCAAAUCUUUGAACGCAAAUUGCACUCUCUGGUAUUCCGGAGAGUAUGCCUGUUUGAGGGUCGGUUUAAAUAAAAAUCGGUGUGGUUGCUGCCUUUCGUGGUGACGCACCGGAUGCGGGUCGUCUUGCCUUCGGUUAAGUGACCUAAAAUUUUGCAUGAUUUUUUCUGACUUCUUUAAAUUGUUUUACGUACGGUUUCUAUAUCGAAUA
rnacentral:misc_RNA from 1 species